rnacentral:ncRNA from 2 species
GCGUUCUCAACGGGGUGCUAAGACGAAAGUCUGGCUGAGAUAAUACCCGUCGAACCUGAUCCGGAUAAUGCCGGCGAAGGGAUUUGAGGCUCCAUUCUCA